CGCCACGAGGAUGUUAUUCAUGGUUUGGUCUGCCCGGUGCCCAUUAGUGGUUAACGGCGGUCCCAGGAUCCUAAGGUAGCGUAACUAUGCCCUUUAAUUGGGGGCCAGUGAAUGGCUCGACGACAGGCUAACUAUCUUUUUGUUAAACGUAAAAUUUAAAUUGUAGGUGAACAUGCCUUUAUUUUAGCGCGGGACAAAAAGACCCUAUGAAGUCUUUACUAGGCGUAGGGUUCAUAGUCGCCCUGCGUAAAGGUUCUGCUUGGGGCAAGCGGGGACAUGUAAAAGUCCACUUCGGUCUGGUUAAACAUCAAUGUCUGUUUAGCGCAAAGUACAGCGUGCUCAUAGAUAUACCUAUAAUGUAAGGAGCCAAUAUAUAUUGACUAAGGGAACAGGGUUACUCUAGGGAUAACAGAGAUCGCUGCUCGGAGAGUCCAUAUCGAUGAGCGGGUUGGUUACCUCGAUGUUGGCUCAGGGUUACUGGUUGGUUGCAGGAGCUGACCAAGUGGGUCUGUUCGCCCCUUAAUUCCCU
rnacentral:rRNA from 5 species